rnacentral:rRNA from 1 species
GACGAACGCUGGCGGCGUGCUUAACACAUGCAAGUCGAACGGAAAGGCCUGCUUUCCCUUGUGGAUUGCGGGUACUCGAGUGGCGAACGGGUGAGUAACACGUGAGUGAUCUGCCCCCAACUUGGGUAUAAGCCUGGGAAACUGGGUCUAAUUCCCGAUAGGACUGCAGGGUGGUGCCUGUGGUGGAAAACGAUUUUCUAGUGGUUGGGGAUGAGCUCGCGGCCUAUCAGCUUGUUGGUGGGGUAAUGGCCUACCAAGGCGGCGACGGGUAGCCGGCCUGGGAGGGUGGACGGCCACAUUGGGACUGAGAUACGGCCCAGACUCCUACGGGAGGCAGCAGUGGGGAAUAUUGCACAAUGGGCGGAAGCCUGAUGCAGCGACGCCGCGUGGGGGAUGACGGCCUUCGGAUUGUAAACUCCUUUCGACCGCGAGGAAGCCACCUGGUUGGAAGGGUGGUGACGGUAGUGGUAGAAGAAGCACCGGCUAACUACGUG